CGCAGCGUCCGGAGUCGCGUCCACAGGGCGGGCUUCAGGGGCUCCAGCACCGCCCGGCACAGGGCGGCCUCCAACGCGGCGCCUGUGAGGGGUUGAGUCCCUGGAGGUGUCUCUGCGGUGAUCUGCUCCAAACCCCACCCUCCGUGGGUCUCCAGGUACAGCUUGUUCACCAUGGGGAGCACCUUCUCCGAGAUGUUGAGUUGGACGCCGCCGGUCUGUGGAAGACCUGGGAGCCAGCACAACCGACGCUUGCAUCCCACUUAUGCCACCAAAUAGGAUUUGGGAGAUUAUUUUGGAAGCGAAGCUCACCAAAUUUGCUGUGGACUGGAAACUCAAGAGUAGGCUCCUUACCUCCAGGAAGCUUCUGGAUCUGAACUGCAGGGUUGUGAGGGCCUCAUCUGCCCAGCCGUAGAAGAUGGAUAAUGACGUAGGUGGUGUUUCUCACCUCGGGUUUUAUAACCCCCAGGGGAGCUUUAAACAAUGUAUUGCUACCCGGGGGCCCCCCUCCGUAUGUUUUGAAUCAAUUGUGAAGGCUUUUGGUUUUCCUGUUUCUUUU